rnacentral:piRNA from 1 species
UCCCACGCUGAGGGUGUACUGGAUGC